UUACAGCCAUAUCAUAUCGAAACACCGGAUCUUGUAUGAUCACUGAAGUUAAGCAACAUCAAGCCUGGUCACUACCUAGACGGGUGACCACUUGGGAAUACCAGGUGCUGUAA